GGAGGGUGCAAGCGUUAUCCGGAUUUAUUGGGUUUAAAGGGUCCGUAGGCGGGCUCGUAAGUCAGUGGUGAAAUCUCAUAGCUUAACUAUGAAACUGCCAUUGAUACUGCGAGCCUUGAGUAAAGUAGAGGUAGCUGGAAUAAGUAGUGUAGCGGUGAAAUGCAUAGAUAUUACUUAGAACACCAAUUGCGAAGGCAGGUUACCAUGUCUUAACUGACGCUGAUGGACGAAAGCGUGGGGAGCGAACAGGAUUAGAUACCCUGGUAGUCCACGCCGUAAACGAUGCUAACUCGUUUUUGGGCUUUAGGGUUCAGAGACUAAGCGAAAGUGAUAAGUUAGCCACCUGGGGAGUACGUUCGCAAGAAUG
rnacentral:rRNA from 1 species